AACGGCUCACCAGGGCAACAAUCUAUAGCUGGUCUGAGAGGACGAUCAGUCACACUGGAACUGAGACACGGUCCAGACUCCUACGGGAGGCAGCAGUGGGGAAUCUUCCACAAUGGGCGAAAGCCUGAUGGAGCAACGCCGCGUGAGUGAAGAAGGUCUUAGGAUUGUAAAGCUCUGUCCUUAGGGAAGAACCGUGGGUAUAGUUAAUGAUACCCACCUGACGGUACCUUUGGAGGAAGCACUGGCUAACUACGUGCCAGCAGCCGCGGUAAUACGUAGAGUGCAAGCGUUGUCCGGAAUUAUUGGGCGUAAAGGGUACGCAGGCGGAUAAUCAAGUCAAGCGUGAAAGGUGUCGGCUUAACCGACAGACUGCGUUUGAAACUGAUUACUUGAGUGUAACAGAGGAGAGUGGAAUUCCUAGUGUAGUGGUGAAAUACGUAGAUAUUAGGAAGAACACCAGUGGCGAAGGCGACUCUCUGGGUUAACACUGACGCUGAGGUACGAAAGCUGGGGGAGCGAACGGGAUUAGAUACCCCGGU
rnacentral:rRNA from 1 species